rnacentral:siRNA from 1 species
AUGGUGAAUGGUUAGAUACCGA